rnacentral:lncRNA from 1 species
CCGCCCUCAGGCGGGAGGGGGCGCUCCCCCGGGGCCGCCGGGGGCGCUGGCAGGGGCGGGGCUGCCUCAGGCGGGCGGGGUGCCAUGGCACCGCCUGCGGCCGCUCCUCGCCUCGCCCCGCGCCUGGAGUUGGAACCAUAGAAUCAUAGAACUAAGGAAUCAUAGAAUCAUACAAUCAUCAAGCAUUUUUCUUCUGAAUGAGCAUAUCCUGAUAAUCUCGCCUGGAAGCAGCAAAAUAAUGGAUAAAAGGUCUACAUUUGAAACUGAAGCCUUGCUUAUUUCUUCAAAAUGCAGCCUUGCUUUUUUCUCAACUUUUAAAUGGCAAACAAAAAUUUUGGGAGCACAAGUUACAUAGUGAACAUUAAAGGAUGAACAAUCUUUGGAUCUGUUCUUGAUUUUAAAGUGCCAGUCACAGCUUCUCAUUGGUAUGGUCUAUGAAUAACCUUGCUUUAUUAAUGUAAGAGCUUUUAUGUGCCAAAAACCCCCUGCCACUCUAAUAUAAUUUGGGUUAGGUCAUAGCUAAUUUUCAGUCCUUCAGACCCCAAACUUGGAGAAAGAAGAGUACAAAAAGUAGGUUGAAUGAUAAGGAAAUGUCAAGCUAUGUAUUUUAUGACCAUAAAUCUGUAUGACAUGUAUUAUCUAUCAAAAUACAUUAGUCAUAUAUCCUGUGUAUUUCCAAGCACAUCAGAGUCUGUCCAGUGAUCUUACAUAGCUGGCUAUAAGGAUGUCAGAAAUGAUAUGCAAUGUCCCAUUUUGAGUGUGAAAAAAAAUCCCCCAAGGCCCCUAGGUCUAUUUAUUUUGUUCGUUUUUGUUUUUUUUUUAAAGUUUCUAUCUUGAGAUUGUGCAGGUAAUUCAGCAAGAUCUUAUUUUCAGUGAUUGAAAAAAGGUUUUUGAUGGAGUUUGAGGAGUCUUCUCUGACACUUUUCUCCAUUGUCAUUGAGGGUAUUUUAUUGGGCACUUGUGAAAAAAAAAAAUCUAAAUUCAUGUUUUUUGAAUUUGAAUUUAGAAGUAUCAAAGGAAUAAAAAGCUCCUAAAUGUAGCA